CCUGCCCCUAGAGGCAUUGUAGGUAUGGCUGCUGUGUCACAUGUGUGUCAGGAGGUGGCAGUGAGGAGAGGCUAUGUCUGUGCUUAGUGUUCUGACCUAUUCAUCUGAAUGUUUAGUAGCCUAACAUU